rnacentral:rRNA from 1 species
UCCGGAGGGGGCAAGCGUUGUUCGGAGUCACUGGGCGUAAAGGGCGCGUAGGCGGUGGAGCGAGUCAGGCGUGAAAGCCCCGGGCUUAACCUGGGAAUUGCGCUUGAUACUACUUUGCUUGAGACCGGGAGAGGAUGGCGGAAUUCCCAGUGUAGAGGUGAAAUUCGUAGAUAUUGGGAAGAACACCGGUGGCGAAGGCGGCCAUCUGGACCGGAUCUGACGCUGAGGCGCGAAAGCGUGGGGAGCAAACAGG